AGCAGGCGCGCAAAUUACCCAAUCCUGACACAGGGAGGUAGUGACAAGAAAUAACAAUACGGGGCUUAAAGUCUUGUAAUUGGAAUGAUGGGAAUUUAAACCUCUUCCAGAGUAUCAAUUGGAGGGCAAGUCUGGUGCCAGCAGCCGCGGUAAUUCCAGCUCCAAUAGCGUAUAUUAAAAUUGUUGCAGUUAAAAAGCUCGUAGUUGAAUUUCUGCUGCAUUGCUUGUGUCCCUCUGGGGUCUGUGCAUGUGGCUUUUUUCGGACGGAGUUUCUUUGUCUGAAUGUUUACUUUGAGAAAAUUAGAGUGCUCAAAGCAGGCUUUCGCCUUGAAUAGUUUAGCAUGGAAUAAUAAAGUAGGACUUUGGUUCUAUUUUGUUGGUUUUAGGUACCAAAGUAAUGGUUAAUAGGAACAGUUGGGGGCAUUCGUAUUUAACUGUCAGAGGUGAAAUUCUUAGAUUUGUUAAAGACGAACUACUGCGAAAGCAUUUGCCAAGGAUGUUUUCAUUAAUCAAGAACGAAAGUUAGGGGAUCGAAGACGAUCAGAUACCGUCGUAGUCCUAACCAUAAACUAUGCCGACUAGAGAUUGGAGGUCGUCAGUUUUUACGAC
rnacentral:rRNA from 1 species